GGAAGUAAAAGCCGUAACAAGGUUUCCGUAGGUGAACCUGCGGAAGGAUCAUUACUGAGUGAGGGCCCUCUGGGUCCAACCUCCCACCCGUGUUUAUUAUACCUUGUUGCUUCGGUGAGCCCGCCUCACGGCCGCCGGGGGGCAUCUGCCCCCGGGCCCGCGCCCACCGAAGACACCUAGAACUCUGUAUGAAGAUUGCAGUCUGAGCAAAAACUAAAUAAGUUAAAACUUUCAACAACGGAUCUCUUGGUUCCG
rnacentral:misc_RNA from 1 species